GGGAGAGUACGGGUCUGGUGGCCCGCACGGUCUUCAAAACCGCUGAGGUCGGCGCAAGUCGGCUGGUUGGUUCGAUUCCAACACUUUCCCGCCA
rnacentral:tRNA from 1 species